UUUUACCCUCUUUAUACAUUUCUCUACGUUCAUAAAACAACCAGAUCCCCAAAUUUUAAAACUAGGGCUAGGGUUUCGUCGAACCCUCAGAUCCACACUCAAUCAAAUGGCACUAAGGAAGUUCUACAGCGAAAUUAAGGGCUUGAAAGUGAAGGAAUUUCCCAACCAUGUGAAGCCCAUGCUGUCGCUUGAUUACGUGAAGAAAUCAGUGCAAAGAGGGAUGGAUAAUUACCAUGCUAAGUAUAUUGAAACAAGCUCAGUUGAUCCAGUUUAUCAUGUUUGCUUUGGUGGCAUGGUUUUAUCUUACUUUCUUGCUCUUCCUGAGGAACGCCGUCAUCUUGAACACCAGCAACAUUCUAAGGAGCAUGGUGGGCAUUAGAGAGGAACGGUUUUUAUCGGUCUUUUGAUUAAAGGAUUUGGUGAACCUUCGGGGAGUUGUUUGCUGACCAUUUAUUUGCUCGGUGUUUUUUGGUAUUUCUGGGUAUUGUAGGCAGGAAGAUACUGUCUUGCCAAUGGUUGGCAGCCUGAAAUGAUGAAAUAAAUUACACUUGACUAGUUAAACUUAUUACUUUUGUGAUCUAUUGUUAAAUGGAUGGAUGGUUAUAAGAGAAACAACUGUGUUUUCGUUCCCUUUUAUUCUAACCACACUAUCAAUUACGGGUUCAUUUUAAUUUCCAA